rnacentral:rRNA from 1 species
UAGGGAAUCUUCGGCAAUGGGGGCAACCCUGACCGAGCAACGCCGCGUGAGUGAAGAAGGUUUUCGGAUCGUAAAGCUCUGUUGUAAGUCAAGAACGGGUGUGAGAGUGGAAAGUUCACACUGUGACGGUAGCUUACCAGAAAGGGACGGCUAACUACGUGCCAGCAGCCGCGGUAAUACGUAGGUCCCGAGCGUUGUCCGGAUUUAUUGGGCGUAAAGCGAGCGCAGGCGGUUUGAUAAGUCUGAAGUUAAAGGCUGUGGCUCAACCAUAGUUCGCUUUGGAAACUGUCAAACUUGAGUGCAGAAGGGGAGAGUGGAAUUCCAUGUGUAGCGGUGAAAUGCGUAGAUAUAUGGAGGAACACCGGUGGCGAAAGCGGCUCUCUGGUCUGUAACUGACGCUGAGGCUCGAAAGCGUGGGGAGCGAACAGGAUUAGAUACCCUGGUAGUCCACGCCGUAAACGAUGAGUGCUAGGUGUUGGAUCCUUUCCGGGAUUCAGUGCCGCAGCUAACGCAUUAAGCACUCCGCCUGGGGAGUACGACCGCAAGGUUGAAACUCUAGUGAAUUGAC